rnacentral:lncRNA from 1 species
GUGAGUGAGGGUUAAAUUGAAGCAACUAUCCGCCCAGAAUCUCCAUUUAAUGCUUCUAGAUUCUCCAUUACAGGACCCCAAAACUCCAUCUUUCGGUCUUUUGUGGGCAUUAAAACCCAACCUCUAGAUAUUUGUGUCAGUAUCUCACUGGAUGCACUGGUACAGCAAAGCUUACCACCCUGACUGGAAGUUCCUAGGCUAAGCGUGGAAUUGAGGCUGCAGCUGCUGGCCUAUACCACAGCCAUAGCAACACCAGAUCCAAGCUGCAUCUGUGACCUACGUGGCAGCUUGCGGCAAUACCGGAUCCUUAACCCACUGAGGGAGGCCAGGAAUCAAACCCACAUCCUCACGAAGACUUCGUUGGGUUCUUCACCUACUGAGCCAACAAUGAGAACUCCCUCUUUUUUUUUUUUUUCUAGUACCUAGAAAUUUUACUUUAUUUUUAUGAGCUUAGCUGUAUUUAUAAAAAAAUUUUCCGUGUCUAUCAUUUAUCAGUAUUAUUAUGGGGUUGUAGGAGAAUUAGGAGUUUGUGUGAGCUUUUUCUGUAAUAUCACUGGAAACUGAAAACCUACCAACCCUUCAUGUUAUUGAAGGCAGCUCUUACGGUCCACCCCAAGUUUCUUCUAUGCUGUCGUCCUCUUAUGAUGAAGUGUCUUGUUCUGAUUCCACUUCUCUUAUGCUAUUCUAGUUUGCUCAUGUCCUUCUUAAAGAGUAGGACCCAGUCAUGGGCAGGCUCCCCAAGUGUGGUCAGACCAAGAGGUCAGAGGCAUUGCCACCCCACAGACUGAACACCACACUCCUCUCCAUGGGGUCUAAGGUCCAGGGCCUCUUUGGGCUAAAACACUGUGGUGUUGCCAAAGCGUAAGCUUACACAAACCUUUUUGGUGUAGAAAAAGAGCAAGAACUAUCAUGAGAGGCUGGGGGUAGUGGACAGGUAACAAAGAGUGAAUUAGGAUUUGAGGGAGUUAAAACAAAUGAGAUAAUGGCUUGGCCCAUGUAGUCCUGCGGAGACAUUCUGCAGCCCUGUCUCAGGAUCAGUGAUGUAACAGCAGAAGACUUCAGGAGACUGCCUCAGUGUUUUCUUAAUUCAUUUAGGUUAUUAUUUGCCUGUGGUCUACUCUUUUUUUCAGGUCUAGUUUCUCCCCCACCCUCACCCCUCCUGCCUUAAGCUGUUAUAUAAGCACCUUAAAUCUCUGAUUAGAAACCUUGCUGUGUUCUGUUUCGUGUGCUUUGUUCUGAUAAGCAUGGAUUUUAUAACUCCCAGGUCUUUUGUAGAAAGGCUGGGGAGCUGGGACCUGCAGUCAGAUGAAGAUAGUUGCUAUGGGCUAUUCAGUUAGUGUGGAUCAGGAAUCCUACCAGUUAUCACCUCCAAGUGGGGAUGGGAGGAGAGGAGAUGGGGUGGGGGAGGAGAGAGAAAGAUUGAUGCAGGAGAAAGAAACCUGCCAUGUGAUUUUUCCAAAUCCCUUAACCUCUCUGGGUCUCAACUUCUUUAUCUGUAAAUAGAAAGCAUUGAUUUUAACUCCCUUGCCUCAAAUGAUCUGAGCUCUUAUUCCCCUGGUAGAGAAAAGACAGUGAUGAAGGGUCAUGCUAAUGGGAACAGAAAAUGCUGUCUUUCUUAUAUAGCUUCAUGUCUGAGAAGGGCAGUUUUUCAUUCCUGAAGUAAUAAUCAUAGCCAACUUUUAUAUGGUGCUCACAAUCGACCUGGCAUUGUUCUAAGCACUUUAUGAGCACCUCUCAUUUCAUUCUCACAGCAUCCCUAUGAGCUAGAUACAGUUAUUAUCUUCAUGCUGGAGUAAGAAAAAGAUACAGAGAAGUUAUGGAACUUGCCCAGUGUCACACAGCUAGCACAUUCUAGGGUAGGGAUUCAACAUGAGCCACCUGGCUCCAAAGUUAGUGCUGUUAGCCCAUGCCCUUAAGAGCUUAGAGGCAGAGAGCUUAGGGAGUUCUGAAAAACCCAUAAAUAUACUUUCAAAAUCCUUGAAAAAAGAACAAAUAACGGGGAGAGAGCCAGUAAUGGGAGAUUUGACUUAGACUUGAUGGAAAGACUUCCGAUCUAUUGAGCUGAGACCUGGAGGAUGAGAAGGCACCAUUUAGACGAAAGAAAAGGGAAGAGCCUGGCAGGCAGAGGGAUCCGAAUAUGCUGAGGGAAUACAGUGCGGUCAAGAUCUGGAAGGUGUCUGUAUGCCUUGAGUUCAGGGAGUGAAGGGGAAGGUGGAGAACCUUAUGACUUAGGAGAUGGGUGGGGCCAAUGCAUGAGGGCUCCGGUGUCUCUGUCUGUCUCAGGGUUUCUCUAGCUCAGGACUGUUGACUUUUGGGGCUGGAUAAAUCUUCAUUGCGGGACCUUUCCUGUGCUUUGUGGGAAGUGUAGCAGCAUUCCUGACAUAUACUCAUGAGAUACCAGUAGAACACCCACCCCCAAGGCCACCCAAAUUGUGAUAAUCAGAAAUGUCUCCAGACAUCGCUAAAUAUCCAGUGGAGGGCAGAACUGGCUCUGGUUGAGAACCCCUGAGCUAGAUAUUUCAUGCAUUGGGAUCUGUCCCUCCUCAUGGCCUAUAAGAUGGACCCUGAGUCAUGGGGUCACUUUCUACACAUGGGCAUUGACUGAAUCUCUUUGGCCAGGUCGUAGCCAAGCCUGACCAGGUAGGUACAGCCUCCUGGAGACCAUCCUUGGAAAUUGUCAUGUUCAAACAGAGAUAGUGUCAUCAGAGUGGACAACGCUGAAAUUAGAGCACUGAACUAGAAAAUGAAGACUGAAGAACUGCAUCAGGUUCAGAGAAGAAACAAAGGGGGUUCUUCUUCACAAGCAGGCCCUCUAGAGUUUCAGUACAAUACGAUACUUUCCCAAUGGGCUCGGUUCUCUUUCUGCUGAAACCAAUGUAACUGCAUAGAGCUUCACAAAGCAGGCUUUUAUGAAGAAAAUUACCUUAAAUCAAAAAGAAUAGAAACAAGAUCCUUGGCAUUAAUGGUAAUAAUAACCAGAUUCCUGUGAAGGGCUAAAAUAUUGCUAUUUUAGUCACUUGUUGUGGGAAUUUGUACUUUUCAAACUCAAUAUGAAGCGCUUCUGGAACUUUCUGUCAAGUGUUUUCUGUGGCUGCCAAGUAACCCGGACAGGAGGAGAAAGGGAUGUUUUUGUCUAGCACAUUUCUUCUAUCACCAGGAAAAUGAAGUUCUAGGUGGUCUGCUUUUUCUUUGUAAUUUUUUUUAAUGGUAUGGAGAGGUUGCAAGUACUGCAGUCUGGUCUAUUGAGGCACCCCUGAAGCAUGACGUUUAUUCAGGGUUCGUCCUAAGCCCUUUGUCUUUUUGUGGUAGGAAUUCUCUGAUUUCUUUUGCCUUCAACCUGCAGAACUUUUGAAGGAUGGCACAAUUUGGCCAAACAUAAUAAUGUUAGAAAAAUUGUCCAUAAAGAAAAGUGUUCCUGAGCCUUUCUAACAUUUUCUGCUCUCUGGCCCUGAUUCUCUGAACUUCUGGUUUGCAACUGCCCCUAACCUCUUUCAGAAAUCCUGAGUCCUGGCCUGGAGCCCACCCCCUCAGAGGAGACCCAGCUCAGCACAUGCACUCUGUCUCUUAGCCUGGAGGUCAUGUGGGCCAAAUCUGGGCAAGGAACCAGAGCUGUUUCAUAACUAACUUCUACUUAUUCAUCUCUCCUGCUAAAUCAUUAUUCCUGUUUUAUAGUCAGGGCAGUAGGCAGAGCGGUCAACUCAAAAUCAGAGUUGGACUUGCUGCAAAAUCCCGAGGUGUCAACAACAAUGGCAAUAAGAGUAAUAUUUAUUGAGUAGUUACCACUAAAUCAGCUUUAUGUUAGGAGCUUUGUACACAUUAUCUCAUUUAAUUAUUACAUCGCCUCUACAAGAGUGGUACUACAAUUAUACUCCUUUUACAGAUGAGUGGACUUAAAAUGUUAAAUUAAUUGCUCAAGAUCUCACAAUUUCUAAUCAGGGCAUUCAGACCCCAAGUGUUUCUUACACUCUGUAUCCUUUACUGCCUCUUGACAUGUUUGAAGACUUUAUGAAGAAAUUUGGAGGAGGUUGUAGGUAUUUUCAGAGAACUCCACCUUUGGGACACAGUUGAGCCUUGAGAAGGGCAAAUUUCAAACAUUCCUAAAAGAGUUGAUGUUAUGCAUGGCUUUUGAACUAUACUGUGCUGAGCACAUUCUCUGACUCCUAUGUAAAAUAAAAUAUAGUGAUAUUCAAGAAAAGCUUUAUAGUAGAAAUAUUGGUUUCAUUGAUGAGGUUCACCACCAUCUUUCUGCAUACUAUUUAAUAAAGACAGUAGGGCUCUUUACCCCUUGACAUCAUGAUAAACUUAAGGUGAUUUCUCUGGCAUUCGGUUUCCUUAUUUGUAAAUGAAGGGUUCGGGCAACUUGAUCUCUAUAAUCUCUUUUGACUCGCUGCUCAGGUGUGGAUCAUACAUAGUACCCUGCUUUUUCUCAGAAGCGACAGCUGGAUUUUUGGACUUUUUGUGUUUUGUUGUUCAUAAUUUGUCCCAACCGCACAUGCAUGCAGUUAUUUUUAGUCCCUUAUAGUUUCUUUGUAUUCUGUCACUGGAGGAGAUGAGGAGACAUUUGUCCAGGUGUAAUCAUUGCAGCCACGGGGCCUCUGUCCUGGGUCCCAGCCUGUUUCGCAGUCAUAAGCAACUGGUUUCCUGGCCCAGGAGGAUGAUGUUUGUACACAGUCCUCAAACCUCACUCUCCAGGAUUUAUAAAUAGUGAAGGGUGUAAAUCAAGCCAGCUGGUUUGCUCCAGGGAGCCCUUGCUCUCCCUAGGAGGAGCAUUUUGCUCUGCAGGCAGAAGAUGGAACUAAAUAAGCCAUCAUUUCCCAUGGACCAGAGCUGAAGAAGGUAGAGAAAGUUCUGCUGAUGGAGUUAUAUCCCCUGGCCUGAGUUUCCCUGGGACCACUUGCCAUGAGGAAGGCCCAAGGGAGGUGGCAUAUGAAACCCAGAGUGAGGAAAAGCUGGAAGGAUGAUUUUAUUCUGGUUAAUCCUGGGGGUCUCAGGGAAUGUCCUGUCCCAGAAAGGUGGCUCUUCACAAGGCCCAUCAGAACUGAUCUCACAUGCAGGUAAAGAAGGAUCUAGGGAGAGUUCCCACUGUGGUGCAGAGGAACCGAAUCUGACUAGUAUCCAUGAGGAUGCAAGUUCAAUCCCUGGACUCCCUCAGUGGGUUAAGGAUCCUGCGUUGCUGUGAGCUGUGAUGUAGGUUGUAGACAUGGCUCAGAUCCCAAGUGGCUGUGACUGUGGCUGUGGCCUAGGCCGGCAGCUGUACCUUGGAUUAGAUCCCUAGCCUGGGAACUUCCCUUCCAUGUGUCUUGGGUAUAGGCCUAAAAACCAAAAAAAAAAAAAAAAAAA